ACCAUAAGCGACUUUAGUAAAAAAGACAGGGAAGGAAAGUAAGGUUAAAUCGAGUUGAAGUUGAAAAUAAAGAAAACCAGCAGCCGAUAGUUUGACAGCCAAUCACGCCGUAGAAGAAUCAUGUUACCAGUUAGUGACUAAUCAACUGCUAAUCGAACGCAAAUAAAUUCUUUUGCGUUAAUGCGAAAAAACUAAAUUGACGAACAGGCUUAAACGAUAUACGUGCGUAACACGUUCACGUAAUAAAAAGACGGGAUAUACUGACAAUUUAAGAGGCAGGCGCGGGACAGAAAUGCAGUAGUCAGACGGUGCAAUAGGAAUGUUUACUUUGUGGAAUGAGCACUCCCAAAUAGUGUCAAUCACAUUCGCAACACAAAUUUUUUGUCAGAAAUAUUUUUGUUUGAUCUAUCGUUUGCUACGGCAAGCAGGGGCAGAGAAAAAUGCCAACUAAGAUCGUUGGCUGCCUAAAGAAUCUGUUACCAUAACCGGACCCAUGGAACGGAGUACAGUAACAACAGGGCCUGGUGAACUCAGAACCGCCAUAAAAUUUUCAAACGUUGGAUGAAAUCGUACCUUGCGAACCAUUUCGCAGGACACUGUAGUGGUGUCCUCGGGAACGCUUAAACAAAGAAAGGCAAUAAUGAAAAGAAUUGCUUGAUUUCCCAAACUCCUUGCUACAAUAUAGGUUUCAUAACGAAGGAAAUACCUCAAGGAGUUCAAAUUCCAAUGUUGAAUUCGACCUCCUAAUGCGGUAAUGAUAUAAGUUGGAUUGCAGGAGGACCAAUCAGCAUCUAGAGCUGGAUCCUGACAAGUGAAAUUGUUGCUCAAAGAAGUGACUGGUGAAAAAUUCAUUGUACUGAAGAGUGUAGUCACUCCUGAUUUUUCAAUGACAAAAAAUUUGUUAGGCUCUGAAGGAUUGAACCUCACAGCCAUUCCUACAAUACCACUUUCUAGAUUAAUACUUGGGACUACUUCAAGUUUAUCAGUUGCACUAUGAAAUCACCUGAUGAUUGAAGAGGGAUAGUUUUCAAAAGAUCUCCAUUCUCCACAGACCAAAUCUUACAGGUGAAAUCAUCAGAUGUAGAAAUUAAAAACUUGUCAUCUAUAUCUGGUUGAAAAGCUAUGCAAUUGACAUUAUCAGUAUGGCCACUUAGCUCCUUUGAAAGAAAAAAUUAUCAUAAGGAGCCUAUAUAAACUACAUGUGAGCAAAUAUACUAAAAUGUUUUCAGACUGAGCAAGAUCACUGCUAUAUAUCCGGAUUUUUCCAUCAAUACCAGCUGUAGCAAACUUGCAGACUUUUGGAACCGUAUCACUAGAUGAAAGUGCGCUCCAACUUAAGGUAAUAACCGGACAGAGAUGGUGGAAUUCACGAAUGACAUUGAACUGAAUUUCAUCCUGUAAGCAUGUCAAUUGACAUGCAAUGAGUAAAUACAUAUUGAUAUCACAUUU